UGACCUUCUCGUCUUCCACCACUUCUGCCCCUCCAGUGGCCUGAGUAACAUUUUCCGGUGCCGGAAUUGUGACAGGGAGAUCGUUCGAGAGGAAUCACUAGACAUUUUGUCAAGAUGAUGCGGCAAAAAGACAAUGAAAAGAAAGGAUGAAAGUUUUUAGUUAACUGAGGACAAACGAAACUCGGAGUAUCAGGAAGAAAGUAUAUCUGCUGAAUUCUUUCAAGCAAAAGGCAAAGAAGUGUGUCAAUCGAAUGAUGAGUUCCUUCUAUUUAUAAGAGACAUAAAUCCCCUAAGCACGAAACCCAAGAGUCGCCAAUCGAAUCUGAUCGGGCACGAAACGUUUCAGUUCCCCAGGAACGCGUGUCAUAAUGGCGGCAGCCACGAAACAACCCUUCAAUGCCAAACAACGUUUCGGUUCCGAAACAGCCGCAACGGUCCAAGGAUAUCGAAAGAACGCCAUCAUCCCACUUGAAACCUAAAAAGCAUAACCAAGGAACAAGCAGUCAGAUUUCUCUCGAAUUCGUAGCAAUCAUGAUUCGUCUGUCUGGCCCGACAGGGGACGAUCCCGACAGACGGAGGGACUAACUGUAUUGGUCAAAAUCUGACUGUUGCCAUCAAGCCGACCAACGUCCCGUCCAGGCGGCAAGGCGGUGAAAGACGACAUGGCCUAUUCCAUAUCAAGCAUUCUCGAUACCCGUCGAGCCAGAAGAAACGAUGUUUAGAGGACGACCAAGACAGACAUAAUGUAAGAGCAUCGGACCAAGUAGAUAGCAAAGGUCCCAUGCCUAUAUAUAGUAAGGGAAAACCUUCGGUUAAAGGGGAUCGGGGGGAGCUUCUCCUUCUCUCCUUACUUCCCUCUGCUACAAUCUUCCUAAAAACAAAAGGAACAAUUUAGCAAUCUCCAAAGAAGGAUAUGUAGAACAACCUCCUCCAUUGAUUAAUGGGAGACACAACGAAAGUUUCAAUAAGAUCUAUUGUAUCUAUUUCAUCUUAUAUACUAUUUAUUCUGUUAGCUCAUUGAUUUGGAAUUUAUUAUGUUUGACUAAUAUUUACCCCUUCACUUUCUUUGAUUGAUUUAUUCAAAAAAGUUCCAAUAUCUUUUGAGUCAAACAAUAACAGGGAAGAAUUAGUACUUUAAAGCUUGAGUUCAUACUCAAAUUCGUUUGUCUUAAACAAUGAUUUAACUGAUAGUAUGAAAAUAAAAUUAAACCGAACGGGUGUAUCCCCACAAUAACCUAAAAGGAGAGUACAGAAACUCAUAAAGAAAACCGAACGGUCAAAAGCCUCUGCUCCCAAAUAUAACUCUCCAACUACCACUAUCUCAUAUCCUUAAACGACAUCCUCCUCUUUGUCAAAGUAAAUUAUUUCACAUAUAAUCAUAUCGAUCGAGAGCUUAUAGCUAAUCUAAUAUGUCGUCUUCAUCAGUUCAUCGCUUAUGCAUUUUCUUCUUGGUCCUCUUCUCUGCAGCUUCAGCGUCAGUGGGCAGCGACGAUUUGCCAACAGCAUAUGAAAUUCUGGAGGAGUACGACUUUCCGGUGGGAAUACUCCCGAAGGGCGUGACUAGCUAUGAAUUUAACAGUAGCACCGGCAAGUUCGCCGUCUACUUCAACAAGACAUGCAGCUUCGAAAUCGAGAGCUACAGCCUCCAGUACAAGUCCAAAAUAACUGGAACACUUUCGGAGGAUAAGCUCAGCAACUUGAGUGGCGUUCAAGUGAAGCUUCUUUUCUUCUGGGUCAACAUUGGGGAAGUCGCUCGUGUGGAAGACGAGCUUGAUUUCACCGUUGGGAUUAUUUCUGCUGAUUUUCCCAUUGAUAACUUCUAUGAGUCCCCCCAGUGUGGAUGCGGGUUUGACUGUGUGAAUUCAGGAGGAAAAAGUACCGGCAAGUUCACGCAACUUGUUUAUUCCUCUUAAAUUAAUUAGUAAUCCCAUUCUAUUGUAUUGUUUAUUGCUGUUCAGUUUAAUCUUGUUAGCUCAGAUGGCACAAUGACUAUAAGCUAGCUUCCCUCUUGUUGUAAUAAAGGUUAAAAUUGAAGUUGGAUAUACAAUUCCAAGUAGAAAAAUUCUCGGAGCUUAAGUUAUAGUAGUAAUUAAUAUUAGUAAAAAAAUUAUUUUAUACUAUCAAGUCCAAAGUAUAUCUAUACGUAAACCUUCUUAAAAUGUGAGAUUUAUAAUUUUAAAAUAAAGACAGGUGAUCACGCUCAAUUAUAGUCCUAAAAAUGAUAAACGACGUUGCAAAUAUAAUCCGGUCUAAAAGUCCGGAGUCGAAUCUCACAGAGAACGGAGUAAUCGUUUGUUUGGAUGGUUGUUUCUCAUUGUAUCGUAUUGUAUCGUUUUUCCAAAACAAUAUUUGUUUUGAUACUGUCUGCUCAUGACUUUUCUGCACUUAUAUCCUUUCUAUAUAUUCAAAAAUGGUUAACGUAUCUUCUAGUUCUAGGAGGGCAAGCGAUCUUGUUCCUUUGGCGGUGUGUAUGCCUCGCCAUUAUGUAGUGUUCCUGUUGCCGUCGAAGAUGAGAAAGAGGCUGAAAUUGAUGAAAGAGGCUGAAAUUGCUGAGUUUAGGGCGCAGUUCAAAAUUCAUGCCCUCAUCGAUUUAAUUCUAGCUGAACGCAAUGUGAUACAAAUACAUCGCCCUGCGUAUUGUGCUUUCUAUGUGUACCCUUUCUAUGUCGGCUACUCCUUCCCCCAUUCUCCCAUUGGCUAAGGAGUUCUACCGUUAUUACGGCGUUUGCCCGACCCAACUUUCUCCAUAUAUCUAAAAGCUUAUCCGCAUGCUCACGAAAUAUGCGAAAUUAGCUGGGGUCGGGGUGUCGCUUCAUCAUUUGAUGCAUCUCUUCGCCCGCUGUUUCCAUAGGGGACGAUGCUGCAUCUUCGCUACCGAGGGACCAAGUGUUUGGUGGUAAAGAUGGAUGAUAAGGCAAAUUGUCAGUUUUGGCUCAACUACUUCUACGUCAAAAUCGAGGACAUAGUGGCCAACGCGAAUGGGUUUCCUGAGGCGUGGAAUUAUGCCCGUAAGUAUUUCUCUCUUUUUCUCUUCCUUCCUCCUUUUUAUCAAGCGUUUGCUUUGCCGGUUUUAGCCGUGUUUUGAUAUUUCAUUCUUUCUUCAUGCAGCCGAGACUAAGCCUCCUCCUUUGGUCGAGGAUAUUCAAGACUGGGUUAGCCAGGUUCUGCCUUAUAUGGUGCGGAUCCGCGAGUGGCCGGCCUUUCUCAAGAGAUUCGGUCUGUCCUCUUCUGCGGCCAGUGAGUUCGUCUAUUUUACUUAAAACUGUUUUGACUUUGUGGUCUCUUUCUUGUUAUAGCAUUCAGGAAGUGAACUCUUCUUUUUAGCUCGUCCUUCGAAAAAACUGAGGGCUCCUCCCUUACAUUUCGUAAGAGGAAGACCACUUCGGAGUCAGCUCCCGCCGUGACUGUGGCCAAGCCUGCCCGGUUGCCGACUGCAUCUAUUCCCCCUUCUGCUGCGGCUAGGUCCACUCAGUCGUCGACCGCAUCUGCAGCGACACUUCCAACUUCUCCCUUGCGUCAUCUAAUAGACGAGGAAGAGGAGUCAUCGCGUGGACGUCAGUGAUGGGACCGUCCAUGCCGUAGAUUCAGUAAGGGGCGAUCAUGAAACGGCGACUGUAGUGCUUGAUGAGGACGAUUUGCCAUGUGAGAACCCGCCCUCAACUGAGGCUGUAGAGGGCGUAUCUUUUUAUAAUACCGAGAUUGGAGCUGGAGGGCCGUCUAUGAGAGAUUUUGAUGCUUCACGACGGGAUGAGCCCUCGUCCUCGCGACCAGCCGAUGAUCCUAUUUCGUCAGUCGAUUAGAGAGAGAAGGGAGUCACCGAUAAUGGUUAUGAAACAAGCUCCGACCUCGAUGCGGAUGAGGUGAGAAUGAUGAGGGAGGGGUUUGCCCGUGUUAAGGUAAGAUUGGAGGGGUCCAAACCAUUGCGAUCCCCAUGGAUCGAGACUUGCUAGUGAACACGGAGAACGUAGUCUCUUCCCUGGGUCCCCUCUACUCCGAUGUGGAGGGUAAAACCCUUGAGAAAUUGGACAAUGCUACCUUGUCGAGGAGUAUAGCCGGACUCGCACUCAUGGUAAGCUUCUUGACCUUCAUUUUUCAAGUUCAACAUUUUCUGCUUCGUUCUCAUUUUCUAUUUUCUCUUCGUCUUUUUUUUUUAUACUGUAGUUUUGGAGAUUUAGAGUUCCCAGCGAGAGGCGAGGCACAAUGCUAUUUUUCAGAAGAUGGAGCGAAAGUAUCGCGAGUAACAUAACAAGCACCGCGAGAUCUACAGGCGGUUUGGUGAGAGCGGCAAUUUCCAGGCUCUCCGAGAUGAACUUAAGGAGAAGGAUGAUGAGUUGGUAAGAGUCAUUGGAAAAUGCAGCAUCCUCAAGGAAGCGUUAAGGGAUAGAGAAGAGGAGCUCGAAGUGAGCAAAGGGGUCGAGGUCUAAUGUGCCGACCUUCAAGCCCAAGUGGUAUCGUUGCACGCCGAGCUCGAGGAGUGCCAAGUUAAAGUGGACACUCUGAGUGGCGAGGUCACUAGGAAGGCAGCGGAGUAGGAGAAGGUGGAAUUGGCUCGGUUAGGGGCUUCAAGAAGCGGAGGCUUUGGAGGCCAUAAUCUGCAUUCUUCAUUCUGAGCGGGAGAGUGAUCUGGAGACGGCCAGGCUCAGAGAGGAGUGGCUUGAUGAGCAGAUAGGGGAGCUGGAAAAAGAGGCUUCAGGCCUUAAUGAUCGAGUUGCUUCUCUCGAGGUCUACAAGGCCCAAUUAUUGGCUCAACCGUCUUCUUCUCAUACUUUUGCUUUUCCUGAUGUUCCGCGGGAUCUGUAUGAGAAGUGGAUCCAUGUCGAGGCCCAACUGGAUAUAUUUAGAGAUUUGAUAGGGGCAGGGAAAGUUUUUGAGGCCGACUUAGAGGACGUUCGUGCUAAGGCACAUACUUCUCGUGUUGCUUGUGGCUAUGACCCCACUACACCAGAGGUCGAUGAUGACGAGGAGGAUGCGGGCAUGGAUCGAAUUGAAGAAGGUGCCUGGUAUGAGGAUGAAUAUCGCGAUGGCGAUGGCGAUGGCGAUGGUGGAGAGGCGGAUGGCGCUGUUGGGUUAGGCGGCGAUUAGUUGUUUUUCCUUCUUUUUGUUUGUAGACUUUGUGUACAUAUUUUUGUGAGCAUAUUUUCUAGCCUUUGUAAAUUCGAAUGAGGUCGAAUGUAAUCUUUACUUAGUCAAUUCGAACGAGGUUGAAUAUAACCUUUACUUAGUUAAUUCGAAUAGGAUCGAAUGUAAAUUUUAUUUAAUUAUGGCCGAGGGCCGAAUAGGUGUUAAUUAGAGCGAGGUCAAAUGUCACCUUUAUUUAAUUAUGGUCGAAGGCCGAAUAGGUGUUAAUUCGAGCGAAGUCAAAUGUAACCUAUACUUAAUUAUGGCUGAGGGCCGAAUAGGUAUUGAGGCAACGUCGAUUUGGCGAAAAUAUGGGUGCACUUCAUGCAUUUGUGCUUUGUUCAUACACUUGGAGAAACUUAUAUGUUUUCCGGGCUGGCAUUCCAGUCCCAGUCUAUUUGGUGUUGGUGUGCACUUCAUGCAUUUGAGCUUUGUUCAUACACUUGGAGAAAUUUACAUAUUUUCUGGGUUGGCAUUCCAAUCCCAAUAUAUCUAGUCCCUUUAGUGGUCGACCUGGAGAGGUAUGUUGAGAGAUUGAGCAAUAAACUAGUCGUCAUGUGCCUCCGUCCGUUCGUACUUCAUCUCGAAGUGUCCCCCUUAUCGCCUCGUUAAAAACCUCCUUGAGAAAACCCAACUGGGACAACACUCAAGUGAGGGAAAAAAGAGUACAACUUGGAGAACGUUUUUUCUUUAAAAUUGAAGUACUUGAGGUGGGUAACAUUCUAGUUGUUUAGUAGUAGUUUUCCUUCCAUCGUUUCUAGUUGGAAUGACCCUUUGUUUGCUGUUGCCAUGAUUUUCUAUGGGCCAUCCCAAUUUGUUCCUGGUUUGCCUUCUCGAAAGUCUUUGCUUGCUUGUGUUUUAGCUUUGACCACGUAGUCCCCGACUUUGAGUGGUUUGACCUUUGCCUUUUUGUUGUAAUAACGUUCUGCCUGUUGGUUUUGGGAGAUCAUCCUUAUGUAAGCCAUAUCUCUUCGUUCCUCGGCUUCGUCGAGCUCUUGCUUUCUCUUUUGUCAUUCCUCGGCCCGCUCUCGUCGGAGCAUCUCAGACUGCGCUCUCCGACUUCGACCGGUAUUACCGCAUCAGUCCUAUGGACUAAUGAGUAUGGCGUCUCUCCUGUACUUGUCUUUGGCGUUGUUCGGUAGACCUGAGUACUUUUGGCAGUAACACCGGCCACAGUCCCUUGGCGUCUUCUAGCUUUUCUUCAUGAUGUUCAGUAUUGAUUUGUUGGAGGAUUCCACUCCUCCAUUGCCCGCGGGGUGAUACAGUGUCAAGAGUAUUAUUUUGAUAUGCCAGUUCUCAAAAAAUUUAGCGACCUUUUUUCCUGUAAAUUAGGGUCCGUUGUCGCAAUCGAUCUCUUUGGGGAGGCCGAAGCGGUAUACGAUAUUUUUCCAUAUAAAGGCGAUCACUUCCUAUUCGUGUAUUUGGGCGAAUGCUCCUGUUUCUACCCAUUUAGAAAAAUAGUCAAUUAAAACCAAAAGAAAUUAUACGUUACCUCGCCCCGCGGGGAGGGGGCCAACGAAGUCCAUUCCUCACUUGAUGAACGGCCAAGGGAAAGUGACUGAGUGGAGGUGCUCGCCCGCUUGGUGGAUCAUUGGGGCGUAUUUUUGGCAUUGCUCGCAUUUUUGUACGAAAUUUGCAGCCUCUUUUUUCAUGGUGGGUCAGUAGUAACCUGCCCCUAUGAGGCAUCUGACUAGAGCUCGAUUGUCGGAAUGAGCUCCGCAAUGGCCUUCAUGGACUUCUUCAGGGAUGCGCCGCGUCUGAUUUGGGCCUAAGCAUUUCACUAGGGGGUCGACAUACGUCCUCUUGUAUAGGUCAUUAUGAAUGAUGGUGUACCUAGCUGCUUGCAUUUAAAGUUUCUUGGCUUCUUUUUUAUCAUCUUGGAGUUCGUCAUCCUCCAAAUAUGUGACAAUACGGUUGCGCCAAUCCCAAGUUAGGUCUAUGGUCCCUACCUCGAUUUGAUCUAUCGAUGAGUGGAGGAGGGUGACCAUGUUUCUUUCUCCGAUUGUAAUGUUUUUGUUGGCCGCUACUAAGUUGGCGAGGCCGUCUGCUUCGAUGCUUUGUGCUUGGGGAAUCUAAUCGAGCUGACACUCAUCAAACUCAAGUAGCAGCUUACAGAUCUCGGUUUGGUAUUUUUGUAACCUUUGCUCUUUGAUCUAGAAAGUCCCUAUGACUUGGUUGACGACGAGCUGAGAAUCGCAGCAAAGUCUUACCUGUCUUACCGCAUACUUGAGUGCUAGCCUUAAUCUUGCAAUCACGACCUCAUACUCGGCCUCGUUGUUAGUUAUAUCCGGGCACCUUAUGGACUAGCAAAUCACUUCGCCUGUUGGGAUUUCGAGAAUGAGUCCCAGUCCGGACCCUGGCACGUUAGAGCGUCGUCGGUGUACAAAAUCCAUAGAUCUUCUGUUUGGGGAGAAGCGCGGGCGGCUUCUUUUUCAACUUCGGGCAUUAUUUUUGCACUGAAGUAGGGACAAAGUCGGCAAGGACUUGUGACUUUAUCGCCGUUCACGGUUGAUUUGUGAUAUCAUGCUCGCUUAAUUUUAUGGCCCAUUUGGUUAACCUGUCUGAUAGCUCGGGUUUAUGCAAAAUAUUUCUCCAGGGAAAAAUCGUGACUACUAAGAUGGGGUGGCACUGGAACUAAGGUCUAAGCUUUUGCAAAGCUACGACUAAGGCCAGGGCCAAUUUUUUGAGGUGAGGAUACCUCGUCUCGGCGUCGACUAGUGUUUUGCUAAUUUAAUAGAUGGGAGAUUGCGUACCUUUAUUUUUCGGACUAGGACUGCACUCACAGCUAUUUCGGACACAGCGAGGUAAACAAUGAGGCACUCCUCAGUUUCUAGUUUUGAAAGCAAUGGUGGCGACGACAAGUAAGACUUCAACUCCUUUAGGGCUUGGGCACACUCGGAGGUCCAUUGGAGGUCGUUAUCCUUAUUGAGACAGAAGAAUUUGUGGCACCUAUCAGAUGAUCGCGAGAUGAACCUCGAAAGGGAGACGAUAUGGUCGGUCAACCUCUGAACUUGUUUUUUGGCGGUUAAGUGCUCUAGUAUCCCUUCGAUAGAUUUGAUCUGGUCGGGGUUGACCUCGAUGCCUCGCUGUGACACUAGGAAACCCAAGAAUUUUCCCAAUGCCACACCGAAUGCACAUUUUUCGGGGUUUAGUUUCAGUUCGUACUGCCUGAGUAUGUAGAAGGUUUCUCUCAAGUGGUCGAUAUGUUCUUCUUUUCUUUUGGACUUGACCAGCAUGUCAUCUAUGUAGACUUUCAUUAUCUUGUCGAAUUGGUCCUUGAACAUUUUUGUUACCAACCUUUGGCACGCCGCCCCUGCGUCUUUCAGUCCGAAAGGCUUGACUCUGUAGCAGUACGUUCCUAGAUGGGUGAUGAAAGUGGUUUUUUUUACUGAUCCUCCUCUUCCAUAAGGAUCUAAUUGUAGCCUGAGUAGCCGUCCAAAAAACUCAGCAGUUCGUGCCCGGUUAUUACGUCGAUGAGCUGAUCGAUAUGAGGUAAUGGAAAUGAAUCUUUGGGGCAUGCUUUAUUUAAAUUUACAAAGUCUACGCACAUUCUCUAAUUCCUAUUUUUUUCACCAUGACCAUAUUGGCGACCCAUUGAGAGUAUUUUGACUCUCUGACGGAGCCAUUUUCUAAUAACUUUUCGACUUCCUCGUGUACUACAUCGUUUAUCGCGGAGUUGAACUUACGCCUAAUUUGCUUCACCGGGGAGUGAAAUGGGUCGACGUUCAAUUUGUGUGUAGCGAUUUCCUUCGGGAUACCAGGCAUAUUUGCGUGGCUAAAAGCAAACAAGUCUGCAUUAGUAGUUAAGAAUUUACGGAAUUUACUUAUUUCUUGAAGUUUGCGGCCGAUGUAAGCUUUCUUGCUAUGGUCGCUGCCGUCGAGUUGGACGGGGUCGAGAUCUUCUAUGGUCGAUUCCGCGGCUUUUACCUUAUCAGUGUCUCUGAUGACGUCUUCUCUCUCAUCACAGCUUGACCUCGGACCUGUUAAUUGCUAUGCCUCUUUUUCUUUUCCCUUCAUUUGUUGAGUUGUUGUAAAAUCCAGGGCGAUCUGGUAGCAUUCCCGAGAUGUGCGUUGUUCUCCUCGUAUGCUGAAUAUUCCCCAUGGAGCUGGAAAUUUGAUGACUUGGUACAAGCUGGAGGAUAUGGCUCACAUGGCACGUAUUGAUGGUCGCCCUAUUAUGGUGUUGUAUGUCGUGUCUUGGUCCAUGAUGUGGAAUAUGGUUUCCAGAGUGACGCCACCGGCUAGGACGGGAAGUGUGAUUCCUCUAGAUGUUCGAUCAACUGCAUUGUUAAAACCUGUUAGUGUGAUGCAACACUGCACUAUCUUAUCCUCGAGUUUCCUUUGUGCAAGUACCCGAGGGUGGAUAAUGCACGCGUCGCUCCCAUCGUCUACCAUAAUAUGUCUCACAUCUGUAUCUGAAAUUCUUAAAGUGAUAACAAGGUCAUCGUAGUGAGGGAACCAAACCGUGGGUAUCUGACUUAUCGAAGAUGAUACUUUCUUCUAGUUCGUCAUACCGUUCGUGAGUGAUCAACCGUUUGAGCUUAUGGGUUGUGGUGAACUUUACGUUGUUGAUAGAAGCAUCGUCACCGCCACCGAUGAUCAUUUGGAUGGUGCGGGUUGGUGAGGGCAGCUUCGGUAGUCCCUGAUACUAUUCGCAUCCUCUGGCAAAGUUGGUCCUUCACCGGUCGCUCAGUACUCCUUGAGGUUUCCUUGUCGAAGCAUAUUUACGACCUCCUGUCUUAGGGCGAUGCAGUCCUCGGUUUUGUGCCCUCAUUCUUGGUGGAACUCGCAAAGUGCAUCUGACUUUCUAGUGCUUAGAUCCGAUCUUAUCUUUUGUGGCCACUUUACCUUCAAUCCGAGUUUCUCCAAUGCGUAGACUAUUUCUAAAGGUGACACACAAAAAUUGUGAGCAGAUAACAAAUGGGGCAUACCUCUCUCGUUCUGGUGAGUCCAUGUCCUCGGUCUGGGUGGGCCCUCUUUGUGGUGGGAAGGGGGUGCAAUGACGCUUCUGACAUAUGGUAGAUGUCGUUCCCGGUUGGACCGUGGAGCCAUGAGGUCCCUUCUGGUAUCAUUUCUUUGAUUUUUCCUGGACUUUGCUUGUACCGAGGUCAAUCGGUGAGUUGGCCCAUUGAGGUCAUCCGCGUCUGCUCUAACCUCGGCAUAAUAGGCAUUGUGAAUUUCAUCCUAAGUAUUUGGGGGGUACUUCAUAUGCCGACUUAACGACUUUCUUGUCACCCUCGAACUAUUUCUAUUUAACCCGUUCUGAAAAGCUGCCACGGUCAUUCCUUCUGAUAUGUUUGAUAAGGUCAUUCUUACCCGGUUGAACCGGGCGAGAAAGUCCCUCAAUCUUUCUCCCAGUGAUCGUUUGAUAGCGAAUAUGUCAUUCAUUCUUGCCUCUGCCUUUUUGACCCCCGCAUGGGCCGUUAUGAACUUGUCGGUCAUUUCUUCGAAUGUUUCAAUGGAACACGGGGGUAGCUGUGAAUACCAAGUCAAUGCUCCUCCAGUGAGGGUCUCGCCGAAUUUUUUCAACAAAAUAGAGGAUAAUUGUUCUUUGGUGAGGUCAUUGUCUUUCACAGCGGUGACAUAGUGAGUUACAUGGUCUUCGGGAUCGAUCGUACCAUCAUAUAUUUUCAGGUAGGGCAGCGUUUUGAAGGUCUUUGGUAUGGCAUGCGGGGCGGCUUCAUCAUUGUAUGGUUGCUCGACAAACCGACCACCAUCUCUCUUUGGCAAGAGCUUUGGGGCACCCGAUAUUUUGUCAACUUUUCUUGGUGUUCUCUCAUUUGGUCCCGAAGCACCCUGUUCUCGUUCUCCAUUUCCUCUAUUUUCUUUUACAAUGGUUGUGAGGGUGUCAUCACCUGCACUAUUAACAGUGUUGUGAGUAUUACCUAUUAUUGUUGGGGGAAAGGGCCAUGCUUCUCGACCAUUGUUGGUGUAACACAAGUCCUUGCGUUUUCUAUGACCGUAUCCUGAGUGGGCUUGUGGGGGAUGCUGGUUAGCGUAUCAAUUAGCCAAGCUUCAAGGAGAUUUUUUACUGCUGGUGGCGUCUCUUCCGUCAUAGACGUGGAAGCUCUUUACCUCGAGACGUUGCGAUGUUGUCGUAAGGGAGAGGUGAGCCGCCUCGCCUGGGAGAGGCAUUAGGCGUUAUAUCCUCACCUUCUGUCUCACAAACCUCAUUGAUGGUGUUCAAGAGAUUGGUUGUGAGGUCGCCCGUUAUCCUCAUUCUUUCUUCUCUGUUACUUGCCAUGUCAGAUCUGUGCGUACAUGGAAAAGGAAUUUUGUUCUUGUUUUUUUUUUGGUUAGAAAUCUGUACUAAUUGUAGAUCUAGAAGAAACUAAAAAUUUAACUAGAAAAUCCACACAGACGGUGCCAAAUUGUUUGACCAAAAAAUAAUAUAUACUUUCGGUUAAACUAUUAAGUUUAAUGUAACGAAGGGUUAAACCUAAUUAGUGAUAAUAUCUCUAGAUUUAGAACUUGACAACACAAGUAAUAUGAGAUGACGUUAAUGAGGAACUGAAAGUAGUGCACAUUUAAUAUUCCAAAGGAUGUAAGUAAUAAUGGAGGAAUAUCAAGCAAUAAAUAGUAAUAAAUGGUAUUUAUAUAAAUAAGGGGAAUGAUUCACCCAAUAAUGAAUGAGGUGGAUGAUUCUUCCUUCUGGUAAUGAUGAAAGGCAGGCAAAUCCUAGAAUAUUUGAACUAUUCUCGGAUCUGAUGGAAAAGUAUGGAAUAAUAGAAUCUUGAUGAAAAGGUAGAGUUUGUAUUUUUGUUAGAGAGAAAAUCUUCUCCUCAAAAAGUGUUCUUAUCCAAUGAAAAACUACAUGCCCUACACUAUUGUUUCUCUUUCUAUUUAUAUGAGAUAUAUCUCUAAUCAACCCUAAUAGUACAAGUGUUAUGUCCUUGGUGCUCGACCUCGAUCAUUGUUGAUGAAAAGGUAGAGUUUGUAUUUUUGUUAGAGAGAAAAUCUUCUCCUCAAAAAGUGUUCUUAUCCAAUGAAAAUUACAUUCCCUACAUUAUUGUUUCUCUUUCUAUUUAUAUGAGAUAUAUCCCUAAUCAACCCUAAUAGUACAAGUGUAAUAUUCUUGGUGCUCGACCUCGAUCAUUGUUGACUGCCCGACCACGAAUCCCACUAUUUCCUGGUCGACCUCGACUGCAUCUUUUUACUUAAUGCCACUUUAUGCUAAAUUUUCUUAGGGCAGAUUUUGGCCUAUACAGACGCGAAAUAAUACACAAACACACUCAAAAUAUCUAUUUUUCAUCCCUUAUCAACAGGUUAACCGUUAACUACUACAAUAGGUAAAGAUGACUAACAAUGUACAUAAUAUGAAAGUUAAAUACCUUUCCGACAUAGGAGUAUUUGUUAUAACUUCCAAUCCUGUAUCUACAUAUCUUUAGCAGGGCAUCCUCAAUUUAAGAUGUCUCAAUUUUGUUACUAUAUGGAAGCAAAAAGAGUGGCAGUCCCAUCAUCUGCCCGGUACCGAUAAGAACAAGAAGAGUGAGAAACAGAAGGCAAAGUAAAAAAUUUCCCAAACUGGUCGAUAUAAUCCAAAUGAAGCCCAAAAAAAAUAUUAAACAAAAAGAAAAUAUUACCAUCGAAGUGCAAGGCAGGCAUGUCGUCCAGGUGUGUGCUAAGUCCCUCUUAUUAGUUAGUAGAAUAUGUUCAACCAGCCAAAAAUGAAAUAAUCCUCAACCGUUUGAAUUUUGCCUCAGUUUAGAUCCUUCUGUUUUAAGCUUACAAGUCUGGUGUUAGCCAAAAUACCGGAUCCAGUAUGACCCACUUAAUUCCUCUUCCUUUUCACUUAUUGCUCGUCCAAAUACGCUCGUGCAGUUCUCUCCACAAGAAAUGCUUUUCAUCAUUCUUUACUAAUUCUUUCUGGAACCAAAUGAGGACCAAUUUCAACAGAGUUGCAGUCCUUGUGGUUGACAUAUAAUUGGACCAACAUAACAAAAAGGAUAUUUCCUUGUUCCCUACAGCCUUCACCUUUAAGCAACGGUAACAUUCCAGCCGUUUGCUUUUCAUAAAAGUGCUCCAAUUCCAUUGUCACAGCCUUAAUUAGAUUAAUAGGUAUACAAUAAUAUAAAACAUCACCGCCAUUUUCUGAAGUUGAAGAUGCAGCCAUCCACCAUAAAAUAAAAUAAGUGGAAUUAGAAUAGUAGUAGCCAAACAUUGAAGUUUAGACGAAUGCUCACGUUAUGCUUGAUCUUUUUCUUUUUUCUUUUUUCGAUGCAUUUACCAGUUACCAGCUCUAACACAAAAAAAAAUAUUAUUACAUUCGUUUAUAUUCAAUCUUCAUAUAUUUUUUCCUUUUUCUUUUCGUUAUUCUUUCCUUCUAGCAACUGAUUUCCCUGGCUGGGCAUGGAGAAUAAGGAAAGACAUGAAAAGGGAAUUAGGACGAGAGGGUGGAAAGUAGUCGGAAUCAGAAAUAUAAUAUACCACAAAUUAGACAGCACAGGAACCAAAAGAUACCACAAAUUUAACUUUAUUAGAAGGUCACCCAUAGAUAAACAAGAACACACAGAUGCCUGACAGGAAUAAAACAUUAAUUCAGCUAUAACGACAGGAAGCAUUGACGAGCUAGGACGCUCCAUAUUUUCUAACAAACGCAGUAAGUCAUAGUAAUAUCUCUCGCUCUUGUUGGGUUCGAUCAUAUGGUUAGAUCCGAUGCGCUAUGGGACGUGGUAUGGUAACCAAAACCCCAGAUUCAAGACAGAGUAUUUGAUGAUUUGAUCCAUACCAUGGAUUCAGUGCUGUCUAGGUUUGUGGUUCAAGAGCAUCUGGCGGAGCUCAGCAGCGUCAAUCUCUUUAGCAUGACUCUCUGGCCUGUAGUAACCAGUUACUGGGUCUGGCACCCAUGAUGUUGUCUUCUUGCUUGAUUCUUCCCCACCUUUCUUCAU
rnacentral:lncRNA from 1 species